rnacentral:rRNA from 1 species
AGCGAACGCUGGCGGCAGGCUUAACACAUGCAAGUCGAGCGGGCACUUCGGUGUCAGCGGCAGACGGGUGAGUAACACGUGGGAACGUACCCUUUGGUUCGGAAUAACGCUGGGAAACUAGCGCUAAUACCGGAUACGCCCUUUUGGGGAAAGGCUUGCUGCCGAAGGAUCGGCCCGCGUCUGAUUAGCUAGUUGGUGGGGUAAUGGCCUACCAAGGCGACGAUCAGUAGCUGGUCUGAGAGGAUGAUCAGCCACACUGGGACUGAGACACGGCCCAGACUCCUACGGGAGGCAGCAGUGGGGAAUAUUGGACAAUGGGCGCAAGCCUGAUCCAGCCAUGCCGCGUGAGUGAUGAAGGCCUUAGGAUUGUAAAGCUCUUUUGUCCGGGACGAUAAUGACGGUACCGGAAGAAUAAGCCCCGGCUAACUUCGUG